rnacentral:rRNA from 1 species
AAAGGAAUAGACGGGCACCCGCACAAGCGGUGGAGCAUGCUGUUUAAUUCGAAGAUACGCGAAGAACCUUACCUGGGUUUGACAUCCUCUGGACCGCUCUAGAAAUAGAGCUUUCCUUCGGGACUGGAGGACAGGUGGUGCAUGGUUGUCGUCAGCUCGUGUCGUGAGAUGUAGGGUUAAGUCCCAUAACGAGCGCAACCCUCGUCCUUAGUUGCUAACAUUUAGUUGAGGACUCUAAGGAGACUGCCGGUGAUAAACCGGAGGAAGGUGGGGAUGACGUCAAAUCAUCAUGCCCCUUACAUCCAGGGCUACAGGCGUGCUACAAUGGCCGGUAUAAUGAGAUGCAAUGUCGUGAGAUGGAGCUAACCUCUAAAACCGGUCUCAGUUCGGAUUGAAGUCUGCAACUCGACUUCAUGAAGUUGGAAUCGCUAGUAAUCGCAAAUCAGAAUGUUGCGGUGAAUACGUUCCCGGGUGUUGUACACACCGCCCGU